AGUGAACGCUGGCGGUAGGCCUAACACAUGCAAGUCGAACGGCAGCACAGUAAGAGCUUGCUCUUACGGGUGGCGAGUGGCGGACGGGUGAGGAAUGCAUCGGAAUCUACUGUUUCGUGGGGGGUAACGUGGGGAAACAUACGCUAUGACCGCAUACGACCUACGGGUGAACGAAGAGGAUCUUCUGACCUUGCGCGAUUGGAUGAGCCGAUGUCGGAUUAGCUAGUUGGCGGGGUAAAGGCCCACCAAGGCGACGAUCCGUAGCUGGUCUGAGAGGAUGACCAGCCACACUGGGACUGAGACACGGCCCAGACUCCUACGGGAGGCAGCAGUGGGGAAUUUUGGACAAUGGGCGCAAGCCUGAUCCAGCAAUGCCGCGUGCGGGAAGAAGGCCUUCGGGUUGUAAACCGCUUUUGGCAGGAACGAAACGGUGUCCGCUAAUACCGGGCGCUAAUGACGGUACCUGCAGAAUAAGCACCGGCUAACUACGUG
rnacentral:rRNA from 1 species